rnacentral:rRNA from 1 species
UACGUAGGGGCCAAGCGUUGUCCGGAUUUAUUGGGCGUAAAGAGCUCGUAGGUGGUUUGUCGCGUUGUUCGUGAAAACUCACAGCUUAACUGUGGGCGUGCGGGCGAUACGGGCAGACUGGAGUACUGCAGGGGAGACUGGAAUUCCUGGUGUAGCGGUGGAAUGCGCAGAUAUCAGGAGGAACACCGGUGGCGAAGGCGGGUCUCUGGGCAGUAACUGACGCUGAGGAGCGAAAGCGUGGGGAGCGAACAGG